UACAGAGGGGGCAAGCGUUAUUCGGAAUUAUUGGGCGUAAAGGGCGCGUAGGCGGCUUGGCAAGUGGAUGGUGAAAUCCUUCGGCUUAACCGAGGAACGGCCGUCCAAACUGCUUCGCUUGAGACCGGGAGAGGUGAGUGGAAUUCCCAGUGUAGCGGUGAAAUGCGUAGAUAUUGGGAGGAACACCAGUGGCGAAGGCGGCUCACUGGACCGGUACUGACGCUGAAGCGCGAAAGCGUGGGGAGCAAACGGG
rnacentral:rRNA from 1 species